rnacentral:rRNA from 1 species
AGUGCUUGCACUCUGUGAAACAAGAUACAGGCUAGCGGCGGACGGGUGAGUAACACGUGGGUAAACCUGCCCCAAGAGAUCGGGGAUAACACCUGGAAACAGAUGCUAAUACCGGAUAACAACAGAUGAUGCCUAUCAACUGUUUAAAAGAUGGUUCUGCUAUCACUCUUGGAUGGACCUGCGGUGCAUUAACUAGUUGGUAGGGUAACGGCCUACCAAGGCGAUGAUACAUAGCCCGAGUUGAGAGACUGAUCGGCCACAUUGGGGACUGAGACACGGGCCCAAAAACUCCUACGGGAGGCAGCAGUAGGGAAUCUUCCACAAUGGACGCAAGUCUGAUGGAGCAACGCCGCGUGAGUGAAGAAGGGUUUCGGCUCGUAAAGCUCUGUUGUUGGUGAAGAAGGACAGGGGUAGUAACUGACCUUUGUUUGACGGUAAUCAAUUAGAAAGUCACGGCUAACUACGUGCCAGCAGCCGCGGUAAU